UUUGACUAUUCGUCUUAUUUAAAUUUUUUUUGCGAUUGAUAUUUUUUUAUUAGAUGAUAAAUCAUAAAUAGUGCUUCACGUGUGACUAGUUUUUUUCUAAUUUUUUAAAAAAAAUUUAAAUAAGACGGAUGGUUAAA
rnacentral:pre_miRNA from 1 species